CUCGAGGCCAGAUCUUUCCGGUUGAUCCUGCCGGACCUGACUGCAAUCGGAUUGAUACUAAGCCAUGCGAGUCUUUGUAGCAAUACAAGGCAGACGGCUCAGUAACACGUAGUCAAUCUACCCUAUGGACGGGGAUAACCUCGGGAAACUGAGAAUAAUACCCGAUAGAUCAUUAUGCCUGGAAUGGUUUAUGGUCGAAAUGAUUUAUCGCCGUAGGAUGGGACUGCGGUCUAUCAGCUUGUUGGUGAGGUAAUGGCCCACCAAGGCUAUAACAGAUACGGGCUCUGAGAGGAGAAGCCCGGAGAUGGGUACUGAGACACGGACCCAGGCCCUAUGGGGCGCAGCAGGCGAGAAAACUUUGCAAUGUGCGAAAGCACGACAAGGUUAAUCCGAGUGUUUUCUGCUAAAGAAAUCUUUUGUCAGUCCUAAAAACACUGAUGAAUAAGGGGUGGGCAAGUUCUGGUGUCAGCCGCCGCGGUAAAACCAGCACCUCAAGUGGUCAGGAGGAUUAUUGGGCCUAAAGCAUCCGUAGCCGGCCGUGUAAGUUUUCGGUUAAA
rnacentral:rRNA from 1 species